rnacentral:rRNA from 1 species
UACGUAGGGUGCGAGCGUUGUCCGGAAUUAUUGGGCGUAAAGAGCUCGUAGGCGGUUUGUCGCGUCUGCCGUGAAAGUCCGGGGCUCCAAGCUCCGGAUCUGGCGGUGGGUACGGGCAGACUAGAGUGAUGUAGGGGAGACUGGAGUUCCUGGGUGUAGCGGUGAAAUGCGCAGAUAUCAGGAGGAACACCGAUGGCGAA